AGAGUUUGAUCAUGGCUCAGAUUGAACGUUGGCGGCAUGCCUAACACAUGCAAGUCGAACGGUAACGCGAGGAGCUUGCUCCUUGGCGACGAGUGGCGGACGGGUGAGCAAUACUUAGGAAUCUGCCCAUUAGUGGGGGACAACUCGAGGAAACUCGAGCUAAUACCGCAUACGCCCUACGGGGGAAAGCGGGGGAUCUUCGGACCUCGCGCUAUUGGAUGAGCCUAAGUCGGAUUAGCUUGUUGGUGGGGUAAAGGCCUACCAAGGCGACGAUCCGUAGCUGGUCUGAGAGGACGAUCAGCCACACUGGGACUGAGACACGGCCCAGACUCCUACGGGAGGCAGCAGUGGGGAAUAUUGGACAAUGGGGGCAACCCUGAUCCAGCAAUGCCGCGUGUGUGAAGAAGGCCUGCGGGUUGUAAAGCACUUUCAGUAGAGAAGAAAAUCUUAGCGUUAAUACCGUUAAGUCUUGACGUAACCUACAGAAGAAGCACCGGCUAACUCCGUGCCAGCAGCCGCGGUAAUACGGAGGGUGCAAACGUUAAUCGGAAUUACUGGGCGUAAAGCGCGCGUAGGUGGAUAAGUAAGUCGGAUGUGAAAGCCCUGGGCUCAACCUGGGAAUUGCAUUCGAUACUGCUUGACUAGAGUAUGGUAGAGGGAAGUGGAAUUUCCGGUGUAGCGGUGAAAUGCGUAGAUAUCGGAAGGAACACCAGUGGCGAAGGCGACUUCCUGGGCCAAUACUGACGCUGAGGUGCGA
rnacentral:rRNA from 1 species